AAAGCCACGGCUAACUACGUGCCAGCAGCCGCGGUAAUACGUAGGUGGCAAGCGUUGUCCGGAAUUAUUGGGCGUAAAGCGCGCGCAGGUGGUCCUUUAAGUCUGAUGUGAAAGCCCACGGCUCAACCGUGGAGGGUCAUUGGAAACUGGGGGACUUGAGUGCAGAAGAGGAAAGUGGAAUUCCAAGUGUAGCGGUGAAAUGCGUAGAGAUUUGGAGGAACACCAGUGGCGAAGGCGACUUUCUGGUCUGUAACUGACACUGAGGCGCGAAAGCGUGGGGAGCAAACAGGAUUAGAUACCCUGGUAGUCCACGCCCUAAACGAUGAGUGCUAAGUGUUAGAGGGUUUCCGCCCUUUAGUGCUGCAGCUAACGCAUUAAGCACUCCGCCCGGGGAGUACGGUCGCAAGACUGAAACUCAAAGGAAUUGACGG
rnacentral:rRNA from 1 species